GUCCACGCCGUAAACGAUGAGUGCUAGGUGUUGGCCAGAGAUGGUCGGUGCCGCAGCAAACGCAAUAAGCACUCCACCUGGGGAGUACGACCGCAAGGUUGAAACUCAAAGGAAUUGACGGGGACCCGCACAAGCGGUGGAUGAUGUGGUUUAAUUCGAUGCAACGCGAAAAACCUUACCUACCCUUGACAUGUCAAGAAUUUUGCAGAGAUGUGAAAGUGCUCGAAAGAGAACUUGAACACAGGUGCUGCAUGGCCGUCGU
rnacentral:rRNA from 1 species